rnacentral:rRNA from 1 species
GACGAACCGUGCGAACGUUGUUCGGAUUCACUGGGCUUAAAGGGCGCGUAGGCGGCGGCUCAAGUCGGGGGUGAAAUCCUCUCGCUUAACGAGAGAAUUGCUUUCGAUACUGGGUCGCUGGAGGGAGAUAGGGGUGCGCGGAACUUCCGGUGGAGCGGUGAAAUGCGUAGAUAUCGGAAGGAACGCCGGUGGCGAAAGCGGCGCACUGGAUCUCUUCUGACGCUGAGGCGCGAAAGCCAGGGGAGCAAACGGGAUUAGAUACCCCGGUAGUCCUGGCCCUAAACGAUGGGUACUAGGUAGUGGGCUUGCAUGGGCUCACUGCCGGAGCGAAAGUCUUAAGUACCCCGCCUGGGGAGUAUGGUCGCAAGGCUGAA